UACAGAGGGUGCGAGCGUUAAUCGGAAUUACUGGGCGUAAAGGGCGCGUAGGCGGAUAGAUGAGUGUGAUGUGAAAGCCCCGGGCUUAACCUGGGAAGUGCAUCGCAAACGAUCUAACUGGAGUAUAUGAGAGGGUGGCGGAAUUUCCGGUGUAGCGGUGAAAUGCGUAGAGAUCGGAAGGAACGUCGAUGGCGAAGGCAGCCACCUGGCAUAAUACCGACGCUGAAGCGCGAAAGCGUGGGGAGCGAACAGG
rnacentral:rRNA from 1 species